rnacentral:rRNA from 1 species
UAAGUAAGCGGAGGAGAAGAAACUAAAUAGGAUUCCUUCAGUAAUGGCGAAUGAACAGGGAUCGGCUCAGCAUGGAAAUUGGGGCCCCUGGCCCUGAAUUGUAGUCUCAAGAUGUACUGCCAACGGAGGCGCAGAUGUAAGCCUCUUGGAAAAGAGCAUCAGCGAGGGUGACAAUCCCGCUUGCCAUCUGCAGCCCCCCGUGCACGGUGUACCUUCUAAGAGUCACGUUCCUCGGGAUUGGAGCGCAAAGUGGGUGGUAAAUUUCAUCUACAGCUAAAUACUGGUUCGAGACCGAUAGCAAACAAGUACCAUGAGGGAAAGGUGAAAAGGACUUUGAAAAGAGAGUUAGAAGUGCCUGAACUUGCUGAAAGGGAAGCGAAUGGAACCAGUGUUGCUUGGCAAGAUUGCUGUGCACCACUGUGAGGGUCUGCUAUGCUAGCGCAAGUGGUGUGGUAGACUUUGAGCAGGACCUGCACGGUGUUUCUUGCCUUGUGUGUCAGCGUCAGUUCGCGCUUGGGGAAGACGUCAAGGACAUGGUAGCCUGCCCACGGGCAUGUGAACGUGCUUGCUCGAACUCAUGCGGAACUGCACGGUGACGAAAUAGUUCCUUUCGACCCG